AGGGUGUAAACGCUGCAGACUUGGUGUUGGAAGUCCUUUGGGGGCAUUCAGUGCCGGAGAGAAGUUGUUAAGUCUGCUACUUGGGGAGUACGUCCGCAAGGAUGAAACUUAAAGGAAUUGGCGGGGGAGCACCGCAACGGGAGGAGCGUGCGGUUUAAUUGGAUCCAACACCGUAAAACUCACCAGGGAAGACUGUUACAUGAAAGCCGAGAUGAAGACUCUGCUAGAUUUUUCAGAGAGGUGGUGCAUGGCGUCAGUGACU
rnacentral:rRNA from 1 species